GGGCUUGGCGGCAGCUACACAUGCAGUCCGAACGGUAGCACAGAGAAGCUUGCUCCUCCGGGUGACGAAGUGGCGGACGGGUGAGUAAUGUCUGGGAAACUGCCUGAUGGAGGGGGAUAACUACUGGAAACGGUAGCUAAUACCGCAUAACGUCGCAAGACCAAAGAGGGGGACCUUCGGGCCUCUUGCCAUCAGAUGUGCCCAGAUGGGAUUAGCUAGUAGGUGGGGUAACGGCUCACCUAGGCGACGAUCCCUAGCUGGUCUGAGAGGAUGACCAGCCACACUGGAACUGAGACACGGUCCAGACUCCUACGGGAGGCAGCAGUGGGGAAUAUUGCACAAUGGGCGCAAGCCUGAUGCAGCCAUGCCGCGUGUAUGAAGAAGGCCUUCGGGUUGUAAAGUACUUUCAGCGGGGAGGAAGGUGAUGAGGUUAAUAACCUUGUCGAUUGACGUUACCCGCAGAAGAAGCACCGGCUAACUCCGUGCCAGCAGCCGCGGUAAUACGGAGGGUGCAAGCGUUAAUCGGAAUUACUGGGCGUAAAGCGCACGCAGGCGGUCUGUCAAGUCGGAUGUGAAAUCCCCGGGCUCAACCUGGGAACUGCAUUCGAAACUGGCAGGCUAGAGUCUUGUAGAGGGGGGUAGAAUUCCAGGUGUAGCGGUGAAAUGCGUAGAGAUCUGGAGGAAUACCGGUGGCGAAGGC
rnacentral:rRNA from 1 species